rnacentral:snoRNA from 11 species
GGUACAAAGGUAGCCCAAUGUAAAGCACAUUGCAGAAGUCCAACCUUGAUAUUACCAGUGCAUGCACUACCAUCUUAUGUACG